rnacentral:misc_RNA from 1 species
GAUGAAGAACGCAGCGAAAUGCGAUACGUAAUGUGAAUUGCAGAAUUCAGUGAAUCAUCGAGUCUUUGAACGCACAUUGCGCCCCCGGGUAUUCCGGGGGGCAUGCCUGUCCGAGCGUCAUUGCUGCCCUCAAGCACGGCUUGUGUGUUGGGCCUCCGUCCUCCUCCCGGGGGACGGGCCCGAAAGGCAGCGGCGGCACCGCGUCCGGUCCUCGAGCGUAUGGGGCUUCGUCACCCGCUCUUGUAGGCCCGGCCGGCGCUUGCCGACACAUCAAUCUUUUUUCCAGGUUGACCUCGGAUCAGGUAGGGAUACCCGCUGAACUUAAGCAUAUCAAUAAGCGGAGGA